rnacentral:rRNA from 1 species
UACGAAGGGGGCUAGCGUUGCUCGGAAUCACUGGGCGUAAAGGGUGCGUAGGCGGGUCUUUAAGUCAGGGGUGAAAUCCUGGAGCUCAACUCCAGAACUGCCUUUGAUACUGAAGAUCUUGAGUUCGGGAGAGGUGAGUGGAACUGCAAGUGUAGAGGUGAAAUUCGUAGAUAUUCGCAAGAACACUAGUGGCGAAGGCGGCUCACUGGCCCGAUACUGACGCUGAGGCACGAAAGCGUGGGGAGCAAACAGG